AUAUUAACACCUUUCCAGUGAGUUUUGCAGGUCAUAUCUCCAUCAACCGAGGUGCUGUCCUCUCUGUGAACCCAUGCCUACGGCAGGCCUCUUAAAGCAGUUGGGCUCUCAGCAAAUUCAGAAGGAUAAAACUCCGCCAUGGGAAGAAUACCUUACAUUGUUAAGGUUUCAACUGCCUCAUUGACAAAAGAGAGAUUUGGAGAUUGGCCACAUCUUCUCUUUUGCAUGCUAAUAUUGGACGCUUUAUGGUCAGUUGUUAUUCUUUGAAUUCUGAUGGACCUACGAUGGAGAAUUUAAGCGGUCCAAGGAGAUUCCUUGUAGUUUUCUUCACCUCUGCUCUUUCAAGUAACAACUUUUAAACUCGUUACAGUACCUUAUAAAUUGCUUGUUCUGCAAAGCACCUGCUGUUGGUGCAUUAGGUGCAAUCUUUGGAUUAGUAAGUCAUCUCGAACAUAUUCGCAAAAUAAGAUUAAUGUUCUUAAGAACCUUUUCCAACUAAUGAUUGUCCGCUUUUAAAA